UACGUAGGGGGCAAGCGUUGUCCGGAAUCAUUGGGCGUAAAGAGCGUGUAGGCGGCCCGAUAAGUCCGCCGUGAAAGUCCAGGGCUCAACCCUGGAAUGCCGGUGGAAACUGUCGGGCUGGAGUCCGGAAGAGGCGAGUGGAAUUCCUGGUGUAGCGGUGAAAUGCGCAGAUAUCAGGAAGAACACCCGGUGGCGAAGGCGGGUCUCUGGGCCGAUACUGACGCUGAGGAGCGAAAGCGUGGGGAGCGAACCGG
rnacentral:rRNA from 1 species